GCAGUCAAUCUGUUCUACCCGCGCCACACAUGCAUCUAGCCGGCCGCAGCUGCCAGUGCCGCGCCGCCUCUUCCCCAGCCUCCCUUGCCUCACCGAUGUGUUGCCCAGCCGGAGGCCUGCCGCCAUCGCCUGCGACCACCACCGAUGGCCGGUGUGGCACGAGCUUUGCUGCCCAUAGCCGCAGCGGCGUCAUGCAUCUGGAGCGACGGCCGCCAACAUCUCCCUCGCCGAUCCUAUUUCGUCGGUUAACAGCUGCAAAAAGGAUGAGGAGGGUGGACCAAACUAAAGUCAUGCAGAUCAAUCUUUUGGUUUCAGAUUAGAGAAAGCCGUGCCAGCAAUGGAGAUGGUGUAGAGCUAGAUGGUUUCCAUGCUGCGGAGUUGGGCGCAUCUCUCGGCAACUCUGGUGGCUGGGGCAACUUGAUGAGAAACCUGACAAUACACAGUGUUGAAGAGGGAGCCUAGGCUGUGCAAGUGUUGUUGCAGAUCUGCAAAAUGGUUAGGGGCUUGCUGGGGAUCUGAUCACUACCCACAUGCUAAUUUGCUGGCAACUUGUGAGCAUGGCCAUGGCUGAGUUUCCUGUAAUGUGACAAGCAACAAAAGCUGUUGUGGUUUUUGGUUUCAGUAGGUGUUAGUGUUCCCUGCUAUAAACUGUUGCUCACAAUAAUAACCGAGUAGGUUGUGUAACCUUGCUUAAGUCUGGAAACAAUAUUGAACGAGGAGUUUGUUGCCUUUGCCUCCUAGUGGCUACAUAUUGUUGUGAAUUUCUGUAUAUUGAAUUGGGUGAAAACAAAUGGCCUAUAAGAUGGUUGUAAGAUUAUGUGGCCUAUGUUCAUGUA